GUUUUUGUAGUUGAAUAACAACAGUGGUUUUUCGGAUCGCCGGUCCCGGUUAAGGCCGGGCAUUAAUU
rnacentral:tRNA from 2 species